ensembl:lncRNA
CAACAUCAUCAGCUUCACGACACAUUAAUCCUCGUAGUGUUCUAGUCACUAGCAAACAAGAGAGAGCUUUUGUGUCUCAAUCCUACCUCAAAAGAAUUCCUCAUCCUCAUCCCUCGCACCUCUCUACCGGUAGCGCGAGCCACACAGCGCAGCCAUGGCCAGCGACGAUCAGCGGGGGCUACAUUAUGAACAAACGUUGAUGUAUGGUCGCUACACAGGAGUUGGUACUGCUCUCCCUUAACCCUGUCUGUGU